rnacentral:rRNA from 1 species
CCUACGGGUGGCAGCAGUGGGGAAUAUUGGACAAUGGGGGCAACCCUGAUCCAGCCAUGCCGCGUGUGUGAAGAAGGCCCUCGGGUUGUAAAACACUUUCAGUGAGGAAGAACGCCUGGUGGUUAAUACCCAUCAGGAAAGACAUCACUCACAGAAGAAGCACCGGCUAACUCCGUGCCAGCAGCCGCGGUAAUACGGAGGGUGCGAGCGUUAAUCGGAAUUACUGGGCGUAAAGCGCGCGUAGGUGGCUUGAUAAGCCGGUUGUGAAAGCCCCGGGCUCAACCUGGGAACGGCAUCCGGAACUGUCAAGCUAGAGUGCAGGAGAGGAAGGUAGAAUUCCCGGUGUAGCGGUGAAAUGCGUAGAGAUCGGGAGGAAUACCAGUGGCGAAGGCGGCCUUCUGGACUGACACUGACACUGAGGUGCGAAAGCGUGGGUAGCAAACAGGAUUAGAUACCCUUGUAGUC